CCUACGUGAGGCUGCAGUGAGGAAUAUUGGUCAAUGGGCGUAAGCCUGAACCAGCCAAGUCGCGUGAGGGAUGAAGGUUCUAUGGAUCGUAAACCUCUUUUAUAAGGGAAUAAAGUGCGGGACGUGUCCCGUUUUGUAUGUACCUUAUGAAUAAGGAUCGGCUAACUCCGUGCCAGCAGCCGCGGUAAUACGGAGGACCCGAGCGUUAUCCGGAUUUAUUGGGUUUAAAGGGUGCGUAGGCGGCCUUUUAAGUCAGCGGUGAAAGUCGGUGGCUCAACCAUAGAAUGGCCGUUGAUACUGGGAGGCGUGAGUAUGUGUGAGGCAGGCGGAAUGCGGGGUGAAGCGGGGAAGGG
rnacentral:rRNA from 1 species